GCGCAGCAGUCGCGAAUACUUCACAAUGUGCGAAAGCACGAUGAGGGAAUCCCAAGUGCUUGCACGUAAGUGUAAGCUGUUUCUCUGUCUAAAACGCAGAGAGAGUAAGGGCUGGGUAAGACGGGUGCCAGCCGCCGCGGUAAUACCUGCAGCUCGAGUGGUGACCGUUAUUAUUGGGCCUAAAACGUCCGUAGCCGGUUUAAUAAAUGCCUGGGUAAAUCGUGAGGCCUAACCUCACGAAUUCCGGGUAGACUGCCGGGCUAGGGACCGGAGGAGGGAGAGGGGUACUCCAGGGGUAGGGGUGAAAUCCUGUAAUCCCUGGAGGACCACCGGUGGCGAAGGCGCUCUCCUAGGACGGGUCCGACGGUGAGGGACGAAGGCCAGGGGGAGCGAACCGGAUUAGGAUACCCGUGUAGUCU
rnacentral:rRNA from 1 species